ACGUCGGUAGUGCAACGGUUAGCAUACACCCUCGGAUAGAGUGUGAUCUGAGUUCGAAUCCCGGUUGCCGCA